rnacentral:lncRNA from 1 species
UUUCUAGCAAUGGGCAGUAUUUCAGAGCAGGACUGUGAUGACUCCAUGGCCUCCCCAGCUAUUCCAUAAGCUCUCAUCCAGGGGCAGGUGCAGAGCAAGGAAUCUGUGGAGUGAAGGAAGAUGGGUGCCUGUUCCCAUGCUUUGGACAUAUUCUCACCAACAUUGCCAAACACCUUCCACGAGGACAGAAUGACAUCAAGGAAGUUUCUGAAGAUCACCUGGCAAGAUAAGAUCCAGGACAUUGAGCACCUUUCUCCAGCUGAACUGCCAAGCAUUCUGACUUUCUGCAGAGAAUGCAGUCAUAUGGGCUGAUCAUGUUCAGAUGCCAAAAGUACGCUUUCCUAAAAGACUAUUUUAUGGAGAUCUUACACAAGGGAGGUGCUCACCCAGAGGAAUCCUACCUUUAUGCAACACUGGUCUCCUUGGCUCUUUCUUGAACAAGAUGGUCCAUCUGGCUGUCCAGGAUGCCUGAAAUGCUCUUCCUCCUCAUCUCCACUUUCUGGC